ensembl:snRNA U6 U6 spliceosomal RNA
GCUUGCUUCAGCAGAUGCUAAAAUUGGAAUGAUACAAAGAAGAUUAGAAUGGUCCCUGUGCAAGGAUGACCUGCAAGUUCAUGAAACAUUUCAUAUUUUU